rnacentral:misc_RNA from 1 species
GAUGAAGAACGUAGCGAAAUGCGAUACUUGGUGUGAAUUGCAGAAUCCCGUGAACCAUCGAGUCUUUGAACGCAAGUUGCGCCCGAAGCCAUUAGGCCGAGGGCACGCCUGCCUGGGUGUCACACACCGUUACCCUCGCGCCAACGUCCAUCGUUGGCCGCGGCGCGGGGCGUGCGCUGACCUCCCGCGAGCGGGGUCUCGUGGUUGGUUGAAAAUCGAGUUCGCGGUCGAGGGUGCCGUGAUGAAAUGGUGGAUGGGCGACGCCCGAGGCCAAUCACGCGCGACUCUGUCCGGCGCGGACUCCUGGACCCCUUCGGCGUCUCCGGACGCUCUUUGGCGAGACCUCAGGUCAGGCGGGGCUACCCGCUGAGUUUAAGCAUAUCAAUAAGCGGAGGA